rnacentral:rRNA from 1 species
UCGGGAAUUUUGGGCAAUGGGCGAAAGCCUGACCCAGCAACGCCGCGUGAGGGAUGAAGUAUUUCGGUAUGUAAACCUCGAAAGAAUGGGAAGAAUAAAUGACGGUACCAUUUAUAAGCUCCGGCUAACUACGUGCCAGCAGCCGCGGUAAUACGUAGGGAGCAAGCGUUGUUCGGAUUUACUGGGCGUAAAGGGCGCGUAGGCGGCGCGGUAAGUCACUUGUGAAAUCUCUGAGCUCAACUCAGAACGGCCAAGUGAUACUGCUGAGCUAGAGUGCGGAAGAGGUAACCGGAAUUCUUGGUGUAGCGGUGAAAUGCGUAGAUAUCAAGAGGAACACCUGAGGCGAAGGCGGGUUGCUGGGCCGACACUGACGCUGAUGCGCGAAAGCCAGGGGAGCAAAUG